AACGAACGCUGGCGGCAGGCCUAACACAUGCAGGUCGAACGAGCUGAGACCUUCGGGUCUCGAUGCUAGUGGCGCACGGGUGAGUAACGCGUGGGAACGUACCCUUUAGUACGGAAUAACCCAGGGAAACUUGGGCUAAUACCGUAUACGCCCUUCGGGGGAAAGAUUUAUCGCUAAAGGAUCGGCCCGCGUCUGAUUAGGUAGUUGGUGAGGUAACGGCUCACCAAGCCGACGAUCAGUAGCUGGUCUGAGAGGAUGAUCAGCCACACUGGGACUGAGACACGGCCCAGACUCCUACGGGAGGCAGCAGUGGGGAAUAUUGGACAAUGGGCGAAAGCCUGAUCCAGCCAUGCCGCGUGAGUGAAGAAGGCCUUCGGGUUGUAAAGCUCUUUCGACGGGGACGAUGAUGACGGUACCCGUAUAAGAAGCCCCGGCAAACUUCGUGCCAGCCGCCGCGGUAA
rnacentral:rRNA from 1 species